rnacentral:tRNA from 2 species
GGGGCGGUAGCUCAGCUGGGAGAGCACCUGCUUUGCACGCAGGGGGUCGUGGGUUCGAGUCCCAUCCGCUCCA